rnacentral:rRNA from 1 species
CCUACGGGUGGCAGCAGUGGGGAAUAUUGGACAAUGGGGGAAACCCUUAUCCAGCGACGCCGCGUGAGGGAAGAAGGUUUUCGGAUUGUAAACCUCUGUCAGUGGGGACGAUAAUGACGGUACCCACGGAGGAAGCCACGGCUAACUACGUGCCAGCAGCCGCGGUAAUACGUAGGUGGCAAGCGUUGUCCGGAAUUACUGGGUGUAAAGGGAGCGUAGGCGGGAUGUCAAGUCAGAAGUGAAAAUUAUGGGCUCAACUCAUAACCUGCUUUUGAAACUGAUAUUCUUGAGUGAAGUAGAGGCAAGCGGAAUUCCUAGUGUAGCGGUGAAAUGCGUAGAUAUCACGAAGAACCCCGAUUGCGAAGGCAGCCUGCCGCAGCGUUACUGACGCUGAAGCUCGAAAGCGCGGGUAUCGAACAGGAUUAGAUACCCUUGUAGUC